AUCGUAGACAUGAGCGACGCGGGUCAAAGUGUACUAUCUGUUCUUAUCAGCUUAAUAUCUGAUACGGUUUCUAUUUGGACCCAAGAUAUUAAACUUAUUUUGCCAAGUUGGUGGAGUGCUUGAAGCCUACUUCACCUCCGCCGCGGGUCGGCCCAGUGUUUCACUAUCUUCGGGAUCGGCCCACGGUUU